rnacentral:rRNA from 1 species
AACGAACGCUGGCGGCAGGCUUAACACAUGCAAGUCGAACGCCCCGCAAGGGGAGUGGCAGACGGGUGAGUAACGCGUGGGAAUCUACCCAUCUCUACGGAACAACUCCGGGAAACUGGAGCUAAUACCGUAUACGCCCUUAGGGGGAAAGAGUUAUCGGGGAUGGAUGAGCCCGCGUUGGAUUAGCUAGUUGGUGGGGUAAAGGCCUACCAAGGCGACGAUCCAUAGCUGGUCUGAGAGGAUGAUCAGCCACAUUGGGACUGAGACACGGCCCAAACUCCUGCGGGAGGCGGCAGUGGGGAAUAUUGGACAAUGGGCGCAAGCCUGAUCCAGCCAUGCCGCGUGAGUGAUGAAGGCCUUAGGGUUGUAAAGCUCUUUCACCGAUGAAGAUAAUGACGGUAGUCGGAGAAGAAGCCCCGGCUAACUUCGUGCCAGCAGCCGCAGUAAAAC